AGUUAUAUGCUUGUCUCAAAGAUUAAGCCAUGCAAGUGUAAGAAUAAUGGGUUAAUAUCCCAGAAUCUGCAGACGGCUCAUUACAACAGUUUUACCCUACUCGGUUGUGAAAUUUACAAGGAUAACUCUCUGUAAACCAAGGGCUAAUACUUACUAAGACGGGCGACUUUUGGGAAGCCCUGUAUUUAUUAGAUACUUAAUAUCAUCCCACGUCUUCGGGCGUGGUUUUCAAGAUGACCCACAAUAACUAUCGAAUCGUCGCUCUAGAAGCGACGAUGUUCCGAAUGGGAUUCUGACCUAUCAAGUUUCGAUUGUAGAAUAGAGGUCUACAAUGCUGGUGACGGGUACGGGGAAUUAGGGUUCGAUUCCGGAGAGGGCGCCUGAGAAACGGCUCCCACUUCUAAGGAAGGCAGCAGGCGCGUAAAUUACCCAAUCGCAAUUCGCGGAGGUAGUGACAAGAAAUAACAAUACGGACAUCAAAUUGAUGACUGUAAUGGAAUGAGAACAAUCAAAAAAACUUAACGAGUAACAACUGGAGGGCAAGUCUGGUGCCAGCAGCCGCGGUAAUUCCAGCUCCAGAAGCGUAUAUUAAUGUUGUUGCAGUUAAAACGCUCGUAGUUGGAUCUUGGAGAAGAGUGGAGCUCUGUCCGCCUGAAGGCGAGUACGGACUCUCUCUCUCUGUAUUUGGCAACAGGAUAGUGCGGCUCUUAGUUGAGCUCGUGCUUCGGAGGAGGGAAACCGAGACCGAGGCGGACUGCGGGGCGUUUCGGCGCGGCGUGGGACGUGGUUCUUUGCCUCAUUUACUUUGAAAAAAAUAGAGUGCUCAAAGCAGACCUUAGGGUCAUUGAAUAAUUCAGCAUGGGAUAAUAGAACAGGAGUGCGAGCUCAUUUGUUGGUAUUAUGGGUUUGAACUAAUGAUAAAAAGAGACCGUCGGGGUGGUUUGUAUUGAAAAGCUAGAGGUGAAAUUCUUGGAUUUUUUCAAGACAAACUACUGCGAAAGCAAUCCACUAGGAGGUUCUCAUUAAUCAAGAACGAAAGUUGGGGGAUCGAAGACGAUCAGAUACCGUCGUAGUCUCAACCAUAAACGAUGCCGACCUAGGAUAGGAGAGUGUUUUUCUAUGACUUCCCCUGCACUAUACGAGAAAUCAUAAGUCUUUGGGUUCCGGGGGGAGUAUGGUCGCAAGGCUGAAACUUAAAGGAAUUGACGGAAGGGCACCACCAGGCGUGGAGCCUGCGGCUUAAUUUGACUCAACACGGGGAAACUUACCAGGUCCGGACAACGCAAGGAUUGACAGAUUGAAAGCUCUUUCAUGAUUCGUUGGGUGGUGGUGCAUGGCCGUUCUUAGUUGGUGGUGUGAAUUGUCUGGUUGAUUCCGUUAACGAACGAGACCUUUGCUGGUAAAUAGUCACGGGAAGGUAUUGCGUCAAGGCGCGCGGGGCCAACCUUGGGAAGGAUCCGUUCCCCCAGGGUUGCCGAUCCUGCGCGUUGCAUUUCUUUCUGGAGGUACUUCUUACUAGGACUAACUGUGACAAGCAGUUGGAAGUUGGAGGCUAAAACAGGUCUGUGAUGCCCUUCGAUGUUCUGGGCCGCACGCGCGCUACACUGAUCGAGUCAACAAGUAUACAACCUUCUCCGAAAGGAGUGGGUAAUCUUUUGAAACUCGAUCGUGAUAGGGAUAGAUGAUUGCAAUUAUUUGUCUUGAACGAGGAAUGCCUAGUAGGGUUGGUUCAACAGACCGACCCGAUUACGUCCCUGCUCUUUGUACACACCGCCCGUCGCUCCUACCGAUUGGAUGUUCCGGUGAGGAUUCUGGACUUUGAGUUUAGUGCUGUGAGGUUCUGCUUUGCAACGCGCUCGAGGAAAAUUAUUCAAAUCUUAACAUUUAGAGGAAGGAGAAGUCGUAACAAGGUUUCCU
rnacentral:rRNA from 1 species